rnacentral:rRNA from 1 species
CCUACGGGUGGCUGCAGUGGGGAAUAUUGGACAAUGGGCGCAAGCCUGAUCCAGCAAUGCCGCGUGUGUGAAGAAGGCCUGCGGGUUGUAAAGCACUUUAAGCAGGCAAGAAGGGGUGAAAGUUAAUACCUUUCAUCAUUGACGUUACCUGCAGAAUAAGCACCGGCUAACUCCGUGCCAGCAGCCGCGGUAAUACGGAGGGUCUGGGCGUUAAUCGGAAGUAGUGGGCGUAAUCCGUGCGUCGUGAGAUCCCUGGGCUUAACCUGGGAACUGCGGUGGAUACUGUCGGGCUAGAGUGUGGUAGAGGGGAGUGGAAUUUCCGGUGUAGCAGUGAAAUGCGUAGAGAUCGGAAGGAACACCAGUGGCGAAGGCGGCUCCCUGGACUAACACUGACGCUGAGGUGCGAAAGCGUGGGGAGCAAACAGGAUUAGAUACCCCGGUAGUC